rnacentral:lncRNA from 1 species
UACCUCCUCGUGUUCUCACUAUCCUCACCCUUUCCCUUAAUCUCAGCCGUCCAUUUAACAUUCUUCACAACUGCACUUUUCUUCUUCUUCUUUUCUUCCUCAACAAUCUCAGCAAUCCAUUUAUACUUCCUAUCAAACCCAUUCUUCUCAGCUCCUUUAAUCUCAGUCGUCCACGUGUACUUCCGAUUACAUCCACCUCCACCGUCAAUGUUCUUCUUCUUCUUCUCCUCCUUCUUCUUUCCGCCGAGGAUCUGCUCGAAUCGCGACUCCAACUCGGCGACUCGGUCACUCAAACUCUCCAGACCGAGUUUCUGUUGCUUCUCAACUCGUUUCUGCAAAAACGACGCAGUACGAUCCACGCGGACCAGAUCCGCGUGGAAAUGACUAGGGAGAAGACAUAGAUCGAGAUUGAACGGGAGAGAUUCUUCAACAAAGGAAGCAAAUGGUAGGGUUUCUGUUACGAAGAAAUGUGAAGAAGAUGAGUGACAGAAGGGUAAGGGAAAAGGUAAUGGUUCUUCUUCGAUGAUUUCGUAUCUUCUGAAUCGGCUCAUGGUUGAGUGAGUGAGUGGACUCGGUGUUAACUCGUUUGGAGUAAAAAGCAGUUAUGAGCGUUGUUGUUGUGAUUGGAUUUGGUUCGAAAUUGAAAUUGAUAAUGAUGGUGAUGUUGAAAGGGUUUAAAGAGUGGAAAUGGAGAAGAAGACAAAGUAUUGAAGAGAACGAGGAGUGUGGGAAAUGGUGAGGGUAUAGUUGGAAAUUCAAGUUGUGAAAAAUAUGAGAUUAAAGAAUGAGUAAAAUAUAAUUGAGACAUUCUAUUACCAGCUCAUAAUGAUAAACAUCAUUAUCAUUAUCAUUCUCAUUCUCAUUUAUUUUUCAUUGUAUUAUCAUUCUCAUUCUCAUUUAUUUUUCAUUGUUGUAUAAUUCUCAUUUAUUUUUCAUUGUUGUAUAAUGAUAAUGAUGUAUAUUUAUGGGUUUUUGCUAACUUUUGUCUUAAAGAGCAUAAGUUAGGAAUAUUAUUAUUAGAAAAUUUGUAUGGAAUAAAAUAAUUUUAAAAUUUUAAAAAACUAAAUACAUGUAUUUCAAGAAAAUAUUUCAACAAAUAAAUCAUUAAUUUGUGUCCUUGGGACCCAUGCUAGCAUUAGCUUAUAUUUAUUAAUAAUGUUAAUUUAUAUUCCAAGGACAUUUAAAAAAUUUAUUUAUAAUAAAUUUGUAUAAAAAAAUAUUUAAAAAUUAAAUAUAUAUUUUUAUUUAAAUCAGUGCAUAAUUUUCAAAAUAAUGUUUUUUAUUUAAUUUUUAAUUUUUAUAGUUGGCAUUAUCCUAUAUUUAGUUAUCUUUUCUAAAGUUCAGAAUAUUAAUUAUUAUUAGUUUCUUAACAACUUUUAAUUAUAUAUUAUUAGUAAAAAAAUAGAUGAAAUGAUAAAUACUCUUCGACUUUUAUUAUAAGAAAAAAUCUAUUUUUUUAUUUAUUUAAUAAUUAAUAUAUCUAAUUUUUAUAUAGACUUAAUACAUCAAUCAUCGCAUAAACCUAAAAAGGAUUAGAAGAAAUAAUUAAUGGUAUUAUAAAUAAAAUAAAUAAUAGUAUUAAAAAUAAAUUUAUUAAUUAUCUUAUUAUUAUGAAUUUAAAAUAUAACAACUACAAAAAGAGUAAAAUAGAGUAUUGAAACAUAUUAGCACGAUUUUUUUAACACAUAUAGUCUUUAAAUUGUGCAACGAAUUUAAAAGUACUUUCCAUGGUUGAAAUAAAUAAGUUUUUUUAUGUCAACUUUAAUGUUUUUCAUUCACACUUUCGAUCCUUACUGCUAACGAUCAUUAAUAGAAGCUGACGUGACAUGUUAAAUAGAAGUUUUUUUUUGUGACUUGGCAUGCACAUGACAGUGUCAACGUGGCAAAAUGCUGACGUGGCAUACCACAUGACUAAAGUCAACAUUGUUCACUAAUCCCAAAAAAAUUGUAACUAAUCGGUAGCUAAAACCGUAGCUAAUUUGUAACAACUUCGAUUUAAUCUUCGAACGGUUUCCUUAUUCAUAUUAAUGAUCUUGAGCUUCAUAAAGAACUUCUUAUGCAUCAGAAUAGUCCUCGGAGUGCCAGCAAUGGAGAUGAUUAACGUCUACUCGGUGAAAAUGGAUAUGAAAUUCAGAGGUGGAAAAUACUAUUUUAGUGAUGUGGAAGCUUAUCUUAUGUGCAUCUUCUUCCUUGGUUAGCUGCCUUUUGAAGCUCCGCGUAAGAAGGGUUUUGGAUAAUUUUUUAGAGAAAUGAUAUAGUGACACUCAAUUAUUUUUAUGCAAAUUGAAAUUUAUGCUACAGUCAAAUUGAAGCUGAGAAGCUACGGUGUACACAUACGGUGUAAACUUUUUGUUGUAAGCACAACACAACUCAAUUGUUUAGUACUGAUACAGGAUGCUGGCAACAUUUUUCCAAAAUGUAACGGACUCUUUGGCUUGAGAGUAGUAUGUUUUAUGUUUUCAUCUAAAUUUGAAACCUACCUAUUAUUUUCAACUUUAUUACCUACUUUGAAAGAUUUGAACACGAAGCAUAGAAACCAAAAAACUUGUAUUGACUAUUAUCUAUACAAAUCUUUGAAAACUUAAAACAAAAUGAAAAUAGAGGGCAAGAGGGCAAGUUUACAAUUAAUAGUGAAGACAAGAAACGAAAACAAAACAUUUUCUCAAACCAAACAAGAUAUGAAAAGUUCAUCAUAUUAUUUACAAGAAUAUAAUAAAACUUAAAAUGAUCACUAAUACUUUUUUUUAUCCAGUUGAAGUUAUUUCUUUUAUCUACAAAUAAAUAUCUCAUUUAUUCAAUUGUUCUUAAGCUCUAUACCUGAGCCAGAGUUGCAGGCAUAAUAACUGUUACAUCACCAUCCCAGUCUUGAGCGAAUAGCUUGGCAAGUCCACCUAAUGGAAAACUGAGUUCCGUAUUUGAUUACAUCGAUGUUUCACCUCCAUCUCUACCAGAUGAGCAAGCUACAUAAACAAAACCACAAGUGUUAUAAUAGUUGUGUAUAUUUAGAAUAUUGCAGUAGCAACAUACUGUAGAACCAAUGGCUAACAUAUAUGAUCUCUUAAUGCGAGAAUUGUUGGGAGAUGCCAAUAUUUUCAAAAUCAAGUUGUAGGAAAGGGUAUAUAAAAUUUGCAUAUAAAGGUUUGACCUUGAAAGUUUUAUAGGUGCAUUCAAUAUUAUGGUUGUCAAGAUCUCGAUAUAGAUCUUAAAAUCUUACGGUUUUACAAUUUCACUCAUCCCUAACGAUCUCGAUCUUAAGUAGAAUCGUCUAUUUUAACCAAAUUGUGAAAAAAAUUGUAAAACCAUAGAUUUUUUGCCAUAUGGGCCACUUCCGGCCACGAUCAGUCGCUUUCCAGCCACACUCUCCAUUUUCCAGUCACCAUCAUUACAAGCUGAGAAGGUCGACAAGAUGGCGAGGCGCAACAAUUACGUUUAGGAGAGGCCAUUUCCCAUGAGCACACUUGCCUACCAAAAUAUCAUGUAAAAAAACUUCAAAUAUAUAGUAUAAUUUUCCAUUUUAGUAAUAUCUUACCGUUUUUGUUAUGAUUUUAUGUUUUACGAUCUUGCUACCUCCUCGGUAUUACAAAAUCAAUUGGGUAGGAUCUUCCGAUCUUAGUUACGAUCUUAUGUUUUACGAUUUUAUUGUCCCAUCCCAAUCUUGACAACCUUGUUCAAUAUCUAUUAUAGAUUGGAAGUCAUGUGUAUGUUUAGGAACAACUUGUAACAUAUUCUUGAGAGAAUUUCACCAUAAUUCCUUGAGACACACAUAUAAUUAACGAGAUAAUCAUAAGACUUAUCAAUAUGUAUGUAUUAUUGUCCUUUCAAAGAGGUCAAAGUCCAGGAACAUACCUUGGCAGCAAAAUUACCUACAUAAGCUCGUACAAAUUCUUUCGAUCUUAAUAAUGGUGCAAUAUGAGGAUUGGCCUGAGUGACAAUAAAAUGAUUGACAUUGAAAAUCUUUUUAAACUACAUCAUACGAAGAUCAAUCUCAAAGCUAUCAUCCCUCAAAUGAAGAUUAAAUCGAAGUUGCUACAAAUUAGCUACGAUUUUAGCUACCGAUUAGCUACGGAUUUUUCUGAGUUCAUGAACAAUGUUGACGUUCGCUGUGUGGUAUGCCACAUCAGCAUCUUGCCACGUUGGCACUACCAUGUCUAUGCCCAAUCAUAAAAAAAAAUCAUGUGGUAUGCUACGUCAGUUUCUGUUAACGGUCGUUAGUAGUAGGGACCAAAAAAAUAUGGUUGAAAAAUAUUAUGAGGAUCAUUCUUUGAAGGAAAUUUUUAGAAGGACUAAAAAUGAAGUUGAUCAUAUUUAGAGAGAUCAGAAACUUAUUUAACCCAUUUAGAUAUGUAUAUAAUUAAUCAAGCGCCUAUUAUGCACUUUUUUAAAUUAUUUACUUAUUAUUCAUGGUGAGAAUUAUUUAAUUUUAAUAGAUAUGUAUAUAAUUUGUUUUAAUUUGAAUUAAAAAAAUUAGAGAGAUCCACUUUUGUUGUUCUGGAGUCUGGAUUGUUUGGAGUAACAAUUUUUUAAACUCUUUUUGAUCCGUGAAUAUGUGAAAAUGUCUUUCAUUUAGACAUCGACGCUAUCUUUUUACACCUUUUGUAAUGGCGUACAUCUUGCACACGUAUAUUGAUGAAGUUUGCAUGCGGUUGCACGUCUUUUUGCUGAAGAAAGCCAGAUGGUGGCCCUUUUAAGAUAUAACAACAUAUAUAGCUACAACAAAAACAUUUGUCUCAAGAAUAAAGAUCUUGGAAAAGUCUGAAAGAACCAAUAUUGGAGUUUCAGUCAUUUUUUCUUAAGUGUUGUAAAUGAUGUAUCAGCUAAUGUACACCAUGAAAACUUAAUGAAACAUAACAGAUCGGUGAGAGGAGUUGUGUGAGAGGCAUAAUGGCCGAAAAACUGUCUAUAAAAGUCGAUGAUACUUAAAAUCCCUAGAGAGUCGUGAGUGAUUGUGGCACCUUCCAGUCUAGUACUACUUGAAUCUUCGCGGGAUUUGAGAUAACACCAUUAAUUGAAAUAAUGUGACCUAAACAAUCAAUACUAGGAACAUCAAACAGACAUUUUGAUUAUUAUGCAACAAAAUAGUGUGAAGUAAAAAAAAUUCUAAAAUCAAUCUCAAAUGACGCACGUGAUCACUUAAAGAAGGAUUGUAAAUUAAAAUAUCACCAAAGAAAAAUAAAACAAACCAUCUCUAAUCUGGUAAAAGAAAAUUAUUCAUAGUUGAUUGAAAAAUACUGGGAGUAUUAGUUAAACCAAAAGGCAUAACCAAAAAGACGUAGUGCCCAUCAAAAGUUCGGAAUGUUGUUAUAUGAGUGACUUCUUAUAUAACCUGAACUUAGUAUGCCCGACCUUAAAUCAAUCUUACUAAAAACAGACGCGGAACCCAACUCAUCAAAGAGUUCAUCAAUGGUAAGGAUAGAGAAUAACUAUCGAGUUGUAACUACUUUAAGUGCAUAAUAGUCUACAUAGAAACGCCACAUUCCAUUUUUUUGCACUAGUAAAACUAGUGACGAGUAAGGGAUAUUUCUAGGUUUGAUUAUGCCAUCUUGGAGCAUGUCAUUAGUGACUAAGGUCAUGACAUCUUUUUGUGAGUGAGGUUAUCGAUAAGGCUUUACAUUUAUAGGAGCGGUGUUUGGUGCAAGAAAGAUGUGGUCAUCAUGAGGUCUAGUAGGAAGUAGGCCAUGGGGGUUUUGGAAAACGGUAUAAUAGGAUUUAACAACGUUAGUGAUUUCUUUGGGUAAGGAUGUAAGGAGGGUGUCUAAAGUUUGCUUUGAUUGACUUAUAGUAUUUUGAGUAUGUAUUAGGUAGGUUGGUAAAUAAAAGGUGCAUUAAAGCAAUGUAGUAUGUGUGGAGUAUAUGGAAAAGUUGAUUGUAGGUUGAGGAUGUUGGAUAGGGUUUAGGACCACCUAUAAUAAUGAUGCCCAUAUUUGUAUAGGUGAGUGAUAUUUUAGGUAUUGAAAAAUCCUCCAGAAGGGGUCCAACUGUUCACAACCAUUCCAUUCCUAAACCACAUAGUUCCUUCAAUGGGAAGUAAAUAGAAAAGUAUAAAAAUAGGUUAUUUUGCAAUGUGAUGGCAACUUGAGGGAAUAGUCCAGAUCAUAGUAAGUGAGAGCCAUUGCCCCCCAAUACACAGAAAUUGGGUAUGGGUUGGUAGGAAUUUUUAGAUGUUGAGUUAUGCGUGGUUGGAGAAUAUUGUGAUUGACACUCGUAUCGAUGAGAACAAUAAUCGAUAAGCCAUCAAGUAAUCCUUUAAAUUUUAAGAUUUUCGGGGAAAAUUGACCGCUAACAGCUUAUGGUGAUAGUUGAAAAUAAAUUUUCUCUUACUCAAAUUCAACUUCCACUGCAUCAUAAAAUUUAUUAGUCUCUAGAGUUAUAAUAGGAUUAUAAUCUCCUGUCAUGAACAAGAAAAAUAUUUGUGCUCAACAUUUGUGGACUGGAAUAAACUUCUCACCACAAUUAAAGCAUAAACCGUGAGUUAUGUGCUCUUCUCGUUGAGCUGAGAUGAUAUAACAUAUAGGUAAACAACUUAUG